UACGAAGGGUGCAAGCGUUACUCGGAAUUACUGGGCGUAAAGCGUGCGUAGGUGGUUUGUUAAGUCCGAUGUGAAAGCCCUGGGCUCAACCUGGGAAUGGCAUUGGAUACUGGCAGGCUAGAGUGCGGUAGAGGGCAGUGGAAUUCCCGGUGUAGCGGUGAAAUGCGUAGAUAUCGGGAGGAAUACCUAUGGCGAAAGCAGGCUACUGGACCGUCACUGACUCUGAUCUGCGAAAGCUAGGGGAGCAAACAGG
rnacentral:rRNA from 1 species